AUUGAACGCUGGCGGCAGGCCUAACACAUGCAAGUCGAGCGGGGUUUUCGGACCUAGCGGCGGACGGGUGAGUAAUGCGUAGGAAUCUGCCUAUUAGUGGGGGAUAACGUUCCGAAAGGAACGCUAAUACCGCAUACGUCCUACGGGAGAAAGUGGGGGAUCUUCGGACCUCACGCUAAUAGAUGAGCCUAGGUCGGAUUAGCUAGUUGGUGAGGUAACGGCUAACCAAGGCGACGAUCCGUAGCUGGUCUGAGAGGAUGAUCAGCCACACUGGAACUGAGACACGGUCCAGACUCCUACGGGAGGCAGCAGUGGGGAAUAUUGGACAAUGGGCGAAAGCCUGAUUCAGCCAUGCCGCGUAUGUGAAGAAGGUCUUCGGAUUGUAAAGCACUUUAAGUUGGGAGGAAGAGUUGUAAGCUAAUAUCGUGCAGCUUUGACGUUACCAACAGAAUAGGCACCGGCUAACUCUGUGCCAGCCGCCGCGGUAAGAC
rnacentral:rRNA from 1 species